ensembl:snoRNA small nucleolar RNA, C/D box 51
CUGGUCACGUGAUGAAUAAAACCAAAUCACCAUCUUUCGGCUGAUCUUGCUGAUGAUUUGUUUUUAUCUGACUAAGCCAG